UAUGGACGAGGAACGAGUGUUCCAGAAAGUUCUUUUUAGAAUUACUUUCCGAUCUCUCUCUCUGUGUAUGUAUCCAGAAACCAAAAAUGUCCCAUUUCGGCAGGUCUGGCCCUCCGGAUAUCACUGACACCUACUCUCUCCUCGUCCUCAACAUCACCUUCCGUACUACUGCGGAUGAUUUGUUUCCGCUUUUUGACAAGUGCGGGAAGGUCGUUGACAUCUUCAUCCCCAAAGAUCGAAGGACUGGUGAUUCUCGUGGCUUUGCAUUUGUGCGCUACAAAUAUGCAGAUGAGGCACAGAAGGCAGUGGAUAGGCUAGAUGGAAGAGUUGUUGAUGGGCUUGAGAUAACAGUUCAGUUUGCAAAAUAUGGGCCCAAUGCUGAGAGGAUUCAUAAAGGAAGGAUCAUCGAACCUGUUCCAAGGUCAAGAUACAGGUCUCAGAGUCGCAGUCCUCGAAGAAGGUACCGAGAUGACUACAGCGAUAGAGACUAUAGGAGGAGAAGUCGCAGCAGGAGUUUGGACAGGUAUGAGCAUGAAAACUAUCGUGGAAGGGACAGAGACUAUCAUCGACGGAGCAGGAGUCGCAGUGCCAGUCCUGAUUACUCUAGAGGCCGGGGUAGAGGACGUUAUGAUGAUGAAUGUAGGAGUACCAGUCGAUCAGUGGAUAGUGCUUCCCCUGUUAGACAAAGCAGAAGUCCUCGAAGGAGUUCUUCUCCCCGCAAGAAUUCUCCUUCUAAAGGUGAAAGCCCUGAUAGACACAGCCGUGGUGGUCGGUCUCCAUCUCCACGAAGUGUCUCUCCUAGUGGUCGACCUUCUGCUUCUCGUAGCCCUUCCCCAUGAAAUUCGGAUGUUGAUUGAUGAACUUGCGGCUGGCAUGGGAAAGUUUAUGGGGCAUGACUAGUGCAUUUCAUAUGGCCAUGUUACAGAUGUUGAGGACUGACGAUCAUCAUGCGUAUUCUGAUAACUAUGGGGGCUGAUGUCCAGAAUGUUGAUGUUGUGGCUGUUGAUGCUGUUGUAAAAUGUAGAUGGAUGAUCGUGAUUGUGAUUACUCAAAAUUAUCUGGUGAUUGGUAAGAAAUGAAGUCUGUCUGUGGUUUCUGAAACACUUUGUCAUUCAGAAGUCUGAUGUUGUUGUGAUUUUCAUUUUGGCAAUUUUUUUUUUUAACUUUGAAGAGUUGGUACUGAUUUGGGUUUGUAGUUGCUGUGAUGGUUUAGAAAGUGGACACAAGAUGAACGAGUUUUACCUAUAGCUGAUGCUGCACAUGAAGUGGAUCUGUUACUCAGUAGUACCGACACUAAAAUCAAACAUAAUAUGCUGCUCUGAGUUGGACAUGGUAACAUGUUUCUGUUUGAUUAUUUGUUUGGGACAUUAAAUAAAUUUUUAUCAUGUUUAAUCCCAGCAUGUGAAGUUUCUUA